UGCCCGCUUGUUACUCCGAAAGAAACUUGUGGAAAGUUAAUAUCCGAACAGAAAUAAAAACAUUUGUGAAGGAUUUUUUUUGCUGCAUUGCCUUUGACGCUGGAUAAAGGAGGACGUGCUGUGGUAUGUUACGGACUUUUGAACUGGAACAGCUAACGCUCUGCACUUGGCUAGCUGCAUUUACCGCCUAUGCAGCAAAUUUGUCUUCAGGAGCGCUUUUGUGUCUGUCUUGUCUUCUGUGUUUUACUGUUAUGUCCAUGCCAGGGCAGAAGUAAAUUUUCAGGGGUGAAGAUGCUGUUCACCUUGACCAGCUAAGACUACAGAUUGUAGAUGAAGUCGAGAAAAGUGAAAAGAAUCCUGUCCUGAUUACAAAGCUGAUGCACACAACUUUGGCCUUGCGAUGCAAAGAGAUCAUCAAUGAUGACCUACCAGUAGGUCAGAUCCGGGAUUGCUGGCCUACUCUGAAAUUCCAGUCCCAGAUCUGUGCAGAAUUCCACAGGAUUACAAACCUCCACCUGAAGAACCACUUUUAUGCUGUGUUGGACCAACAUGCUCCCCUGCUCCAGAGCUUAUUCAGAAGGAAAGCUGUUUGCACAGGGAACGUGUCUGAUGUCCUGUCUCAGCUCUUCAGAAGCUAGAAUCUCCAGGAACAAGCUGAUAUCCAUGCUCAACGUGCUGGCGUGCUUCAUGCCCUCCCUGCCUAUUUGUACGAAGACACCUCUACCUUCAUCAAAACUUCGGAUAUGAUGCAUACUGAUAGACCAGAUAUUAGUGAAGUGCCACUUGGACUCCUCCUGAUCAGAGCCAAUUCCAGCGAUGCAACAUUCUUCUGCCCUGAGAAGACUGCAGUUUUGGUCGAGGGUAACAUGAUCAUUGAUUUCACCACCCUGGCUGAUGCAUUUCUAGUAAUAUUUGGACUUACCUACGCCCUGCACCUAAGCUACCCAAAAUGUUUGGCCAACAUUUUUGACUUUAUUCAGAAAGUUUUGAUGGGUCUGGAGGGUGGGAAGUUAAAGCCCAAAGUGCUGAGUCUUAAAAAUGAUCUUUUGGCAGCAGAAUAAUGUCCAGGAUUCCUACACAGCCCUCAAGUGCCUGUUAAAGCAAGUAAUUCAGUUUAUCAUGUUUCCAAGUCUGGAUAAGUUUAAAAAAAGAGAGAGAGAGAGAGAGAGAGAGAAUAGAAUAAAGAAAUCUUUGCAGACUCUGUUUCAUACUUCAUUAUCUAAAAGCCACAUCCAAAGUAAAAGGGGUGAUUUUAUUUUAUUUUUUCCCCAUCAUCACUUGUGUUUUAGUUGAUUGUGUUUUUAGUCAGAUAACUGUAAAUCCAUACAGAAAAUGAAGGACAAUCUCACUACAUUUCUGGCUUCUAGGUGGGAUCUUGAAUGUCACUUAAGGAACGUUCCUCCUGAACUACUCAUAACUGACAUAAGGCGGUAAGGAGGUUUAUAACACUUUGUUUUAUGUUUCUAAAGAAGUAUUUUUCUAUUUAAAGUUUUAUUGCUCUGUUGUUGAGACUGUGAUUGCACUCUACAAAUGUGCAUUUUGCAUAACCACAGUAUUGGCAUAUUAAAAAGGUUACCAAUUAUAUUUCAGUGUAUUAGCUGCACUAUACGGUAAUUUACUUUCAUUCAGUUUUCCCACUUAAUAAUGCAGGAUUUUCUUUUCCUUUUGUUUUUUUAAUAAAAAGGUCAUACUCAUGUGUUAAUCAAAUCUGAAUACUCUUAAAACAUGUUGUGAAAUUCUUUAUUUCUAAUAUUGUAACCUUGUGCCAAAACUGGACAUUUCUGACAUUAUUCCCUAUAAAAUGUGGUGGAUUUAUGUCUUUGGGCUUUUUGUCAGAAAAGCUAUGUGUUAAAGUAACUCAAUAAAUUUGUAACUUGAAUUUA